rnacentral:rRNA from 1 species
GGGUUGUGAGGUUAAGUGACUAAGCGUACACGGUGGAUGCCCUGGCAGUCAGAGGCGAUGAAGGACGUGCUAAUCUGCGAUAAGCGUCGGUAAGGUGAUAUGAACCGUUAUAACCGGCGAUUUCCGAAUGGGGAAACCCAGUGUGAUUCGUCACACUAUCAUUAACUGAAUCCAUAGGUUAAUGAGGCGAACCGGGGGAACUGAAACAUCUAAGUACCCCGAGGAAAAGAAAUCA